UGGGGAAUUUUGGACAAUGGGGGCAACCCUGAUCCAGCCAUGCCGCGUGAGUGAAGAAGGCCUUCGGGUUGUAAAGCUCUUUCGGCCGGGAAGAAAUCGCACGGGUUAAUACCCUGUGUGGAUGACGGUACCGGAAUAAGAAGCACCGGCUAACUACGUGCCAGCAGCCGCGGUAAUACGUAGGGUGCGAGCGCUAAUCGGAAUUACUGGGCGUAAAGCGUGCGCAGGCGGCUUAGUAAGACAGGCGUGAAAUCCCGGGGCUCAACCUGGGAACUGCGCUUGAGACUGCUAAGCUAGAGUACGGGAGAGGAGAGUGGAAUUCCACGAGUAGAGGUGAAAUGCGUAGAGAUGUGGAGGAAAACCGAUGGCGAAGGCAAUCCCCUGGGCCUGUACUGACGCUCAGGCACGAAAGCGUGGGGAGCAAACA
rnacentral:rRNA from 1 species